CUGGGAGGGAAGACUGGAAAUUCAGAUCCUUGGUAUGUAUGGAGUCCUGAGCAGUGACUAACCAAAUGUAGUGAGUCAUCUACUCAGGAGCAAGGAUGGUGCAUUCACACUGCCACUUCCAGAGCAGUGUGCCUGAAUUUCCUCAAUUAAUGCAGUGAAUAAAUGAGAUCUGCUCGGUACAGACCUAUGUAUUUAUUAGGCUCCAUGAACAGGCACAUAAUAAUAAGAGUGAAUCAAGCAGAAGGUGUGGUUAAUGAACACCAAGAAUGAGAACCUGCAUUUUCUGUGCAGCUCAGUCAUAAAGCAGAAUCUUUCAUUCCAUAAAACAGAAAGCACCCUGAGAACGAUGCAACUGUUCCACAAGCCCUUUAGCUUUCACCCACACCCCCAAGCAGCUCCGAGGAGCAAAUGAUGCUAUAUAAAACAGCACCAAGUUUUAAAUAGCUUCUCACUCCCCCCCAUCCUGCUACUUCAUUUAUUCCACAAGAAUUCUAACAAUUCCUAGGAGAGUGCCACCACACGAUCCUGUGCUCUGUGUGCCCACUGUUCUUUGAACACUACACAGCUGCAUACAAUGUUAUACACUAAGGGAUGCUUCCCACGCUGAACCUCUUUUGUUCUCCUUGUCUAUCAGAUGCUAGUGCAGGAAGACAUACCAAUCUGUCUCAGGACAGAAAGCCCAGUCCUCAGCACACCAUGUUCAUUGCUGUUUCCUCUGCACUUUGAGCAGGUUUACCCUCUCAAGGCAUGUCAUCUGUACCAGCUGUGAAGCCCUCACCCAUCAGUGUUAGGAGCAGAGCCUGCUUGUGGUCCUCCAUGUCCUUGAGAGACAGCCUGAGCUGCAGCCCCAUGCUCCUGCACAAGGAGCAGCAGCACAACAUGGUGAGGAACUUGGGGACCUGCCAGCUGAAGGGAACUGCCAGUCUCCACCAGGCUCUUGGCAAACUCCUAAUGUGGUGAAAUCCUGCAGUCAAGAGGUGGGGG